GCGGAGGGCAGAGAAGCUGCCCGAGGUGGAGGCGGAGCAGGCGCAGAGGGUGGCCUCGCUCUCCAAGGACCAGCUGAUUCUAAACCUGGAAACCCUGAGAGCCGAAGUGGACCAGACGAGACUGUGAGGGGCUCCCUUCCACCACAGCCGACCCCACUUGGGCAGCGCCCCGGACCUCAGGUUCCCUGUGGCGGACCGGCCGGCAGACUCCUUGGGCAACGGGGCGGUGCUGCGGUGCCCCCAGAAAGGCCGGCUGGCAGCGCUGCACGAUGAGCCAUCCAAGGC
rnacentral:lncRNA from 1 species